GAGUAGCCACGGGCGCGAUCGGGGCAGACGUCUCCUCCUCCAUGAUCACUUUGGGAGCGGGGGGAAGACUUUGCCCUGCCGUGAGAGCUGGUCUGCGUUUUCCAGGCGCGGCGGCGGCGGCGGAGCAGCCGCAGCAGCCGGGUCCGAAUCGGAGCGGCCACAGCCUGGGGCGUGUGCGCCCCGCGCGGAGCGGGCUCGGGUUCCCCACGGAAUGUCCCCGGGGCGCCCGGCGCGCUGACCCCCCAGCCGCCUCCGCCUUCGGCGCCUGCUGCCUCUCUCCGGCGGGCGCGGUGUUCGGGACUGCAAGCUUCCCGGCUCCUGGGCAGUGGGGAAGCCCCCGGGGGCGGGUGACCUCAGCUGUCCACGACCCAGCCCUCCCCCGUGCGUAUCUUGCUUAAGAUGGCAGCGGAGUCAGGGGAACUAAUCGGGGCUUGCGAGUUCAUGAAAGAUCGGUUAUAUUUUGCUACUUUAAGGAAUAGACCAAAAAGCACAGUAAAUACCCACUAUUUCUCCAUCGAUGAGGAGCUGGUCUAUGAAAAUUUUUAUGCAGAUUUUGGACCUCUGAACUUGGCAAUGGUGUACAGAUACUGCUGUAAACUAAACAAGAAACUGAAAUCAUACAGUUUAUCAAGAAAGAAAAUAGUGCACUACACCUGUUUUGAUCAACGGAAAAGAGCAAAUGCAGCAUUUUUAAUAGGUGCUUAUGCUGUAAUCUACUUAAAGAAGACACCAGAAGAAGCCUACAGAGCACUGCUAUCUGGCUCAAACCCCCCCUAUCUUCCCUUCAGGGAUGCUUCCUUUGGAAAUUGCACUUACAAUCUCACCAUCCUCGACUGUUUGCAGGGAAUCAGAAAGGGAUUACAACAUGGAUUUUUUGACUUUGAGACAUUUGAUGUGGAUGAAUAUGAACAUUACGAGCGAGUUGAAAAUGGUGACUUCAACUGGAUUGUUCCAGGAAAAUUUUUAGCAUUUAGUGGACCACAUCCAAAAAGCAAAAUUGAAAAUGGCUAUCCUCUGCACGCCCCUGAAGCCUACUUUCCUUAUUUCAAAAAGCAUAACGUGACUGCAGUCGUGAGGCUGAACAAAAAGAUUUACGAGGCAAAGCGCUUCACAGACGCCGGCUUCGAGCACUAUGACCUCUUCUUCAUAGACGGCAGCACGCCCAGUGACAACAUCGUGCGAAGGUUCCUGAACAUCUGCGAGAACACGGAUGGGGCGAUUGCGGUUCACUGCAAAGCUGGUCUUGGGAGAACAGGGACAUUGAUAGCCUGUUACGUCAUGAAACACUACAGGUUUACACACGCGGAAAUAAUUGCUUGGAUCAGAAUAUGUCGGCCAGGCUCCAUUAUAGGACCGCAGCAGCACUUCCUGGAAGAAAAACAAGCAUCGUUAUGGGUCCAAGGAGACAUUUUCCGAUCCAAACUGAAAAAUAGACCAUCCAAUGAAGGGAAUAUUAACAAAAUUCUUUCUAGCUUGGAUGAUAUGUCUAUUGGUGGAAACUUAUCUAAAACACAAAACGUGGAAAGAUUUGGAGAGAAUAACUUAGAAGAGGAUGAAGACGUGGAAAUGAAAAAUAGUAUAACCCAGGGAGACAAACUACGUGCCUUAAAAAGUCAGAGACAGCCACGCUCCUCACCAUCCUGUGCAUUUAGGUUGGAUGAUACGAAAGGGCACCCAAGAGCAGUGCCCCAGCCUUUCAGAUUGACUUCUUCCCCACAAGGAUCUUCAUCUACUUUGAAGACCUCAAAAGUGGCUCUGUCCCCCUCAGCGACGGCCAAGAGGAUAAACAGAAGUUCUUUGUCCUCAGGUGCCAGUGUAAGAAGCUUUUCCAUAAACUCCCGGCUAGCCAGUUCUCUAGGGAACUUGAACGCUGCAACAGAGGAGCCAGAGAACAAAAAGGCCUCCUCGUCCUCUAAGGCGGGUUUCGUAGCCAGCCCGUUCACCAACCUCUUGAAUGGCAGCUCCCAGCCGUCUGCCAGAAAUUACCCAGAGCUCAACAACAAUCAGUACAGCAGAAGCAACAGCACCAGCGGGAGCACCGUGAGCAGCCAGCCGAGCCCCCACGGCGCCGUCAAAGCGGAGGAGCACAGCCCCGUUCUUCGGCCCGCCUACCCCGGCCUCUCUUCUUCCUCAGCGAGAUUCCUGAGCCGUUCAAUCCCCGUAAGUUCGCAGACAUCACCUCCUGGUCCUCAGAACCCUGAACGCAACUUUUGUGCCUUGCCUCCCCAGCCGAGGCUGCCGCCAAAGAAAUUUAAUAGCGCCAAGGAAGCCUUCUGAGCGAUGCCUUCCCUCUGUGCUGUGAACCUGUCUAUGCACGUACAUUCGGCUGGCUCCUCUGCAAUCCCUUCAGUCUGAAUAUGUUCAUUACUAAGGCCUUGCCACUCCGACGAAGGCUGUUCCACUCUUAGACACAGUGUCUUCAUCUGGACGAGCAAUGUAGAGAGAAAGCCACUGCUGUUCGAGGGAUAUUUCUGCCUUCUUACCUUAAAUUAAGGAGAGCACUCACAUAAGACCUUCAAGAGACUUGAAACCAGAAAACUCUGGUUAAUGACUACUAUAAAUGCACUGAAACUAUGUUUAUGGAGAUGUCAAUGCUUUUUAAGACCGUUUUAAUGUUGAAUUUGGUAUUUUGAAAGGUUAUUUUUAAUGUAUUUCGGUAAUACAUUUGCUACUACCUUUACAUGUACAGUGUUACAUUAUGUAUGUAUUGUGAACUUUAAAAGACUAUUUUGAUAAAUUUAUAAAUCUAUAAAAUUAUGUAAAAACUAGACUCUAUUUUGACUUAGAUUUUCUUGUCGUUUGCUACCAAAAAUUUGUAUUUUGAAUUUAUUUAGUAUGGUUUUGUCUACGAUGAAUAAAUAAUUCCUCUUUAUUAAGAAAAAGUAAGGGAGAAAGUUUUUAGAAAGUGAUUUUUUUAUGUCCCCUAUGAAUAGGGCAGAUCAGUUCAUUCUUUUGGGAAGUCAGUCUAAUGUAAUGAGUUUAUGCAAGUUUAUCUCUGGCAAGAGGAUAAUCGUUUGAUAUGGCUUGUUCAGACCGUUUCCUUUCCCUUUUGUUUUUGUUGCUCAGCUGUUUAGUUUCGCAUCCUUGUGGGGCUUUAACAUAAUUUAACAUCCAGUUGAAGAUCAGAAUUCACUGAACGUUUCUCCUGAAAACACAGUUUUUCUCUAUGAAAUGACUCAACAUUCCAAAUGCUUUUAUUUCUUUCUUCCUCUCGAGAGAGUUCUUAACCCAGUUAGAAUAUUUUGCUUUUGGUACGAGGUUGUUGUCUGUAACCACACGUGGUCUGGCACCAGUUUUAAAUCAAUGAAGAGAAAAAACUGAAUAAGAUGCUGCUGUUUCUCUGUAUUAAAGGAGAUAUGUUUGUAACAGA